GACGAACGCUGGCGGCGUGCUUAACACAUGCAAGUCGAACGGAAAGGCCCUGCGUUUGUGGGUUGCUCGAUUGGCGAACGGGUGAGUAACACGUGAGUAACCUGCCCCUGUCUUUCGGGUAACUUCAGGAAACUGGGGCGAAUAUCCGAUAUGAUAUCCUGCUCCACGGUGGGGGUUGGAAAGUUUCGGCGGUUGUGGAUGGACUCGCGGCUUACCCGCUUGUUUGUGGAGUAGUUGCUUACGAAGGCUUUGACGGGUAGCCGGCCUGAGAGGGUGACCGGCGACAUUGGUACUGCGAUACGGCCCAGAAGCGUACGUGAGGCAGCAGUGGGGAGUCUUGCGCAAUGGGCGGACGUGUGAGGCAGAAGCGCCGCGUGCGGGAUGACGGCCUUCGGGUUGAAAACAGCUUUGGACUGUGACGAAGAGUGAGUGACGGUACUGGGUAAAGAAGCAACGGCUAACUACGUG
rnacentral:rRNA from 1 species